UCGAGGAUCUUCGGCAAUGGGCGCAAGCCUGACCGAGCGACGCCGCGUGUGCGAUGAAGGCCUUCGGGUUGUAAAGCACUGUCGAGGGGGAGGAAGCCGCAAGGUUGACCUAUCCCUGGAGGAAGCACGGGCUAAGUUCGUGCCAGCAGCCGCGGUAAGACGAACCGUGCGAACGUUGUUCGGAAUCACUGGGCUUAAAGGGCGCGUAGGCGGGGGAGCAAGUCUGGGGUGAAAUCUUUCGGCUCAACCGGAAAAUGGCCUUGGAUACUGCUUCUCUCGAGGAAUGUAGGGGUCGAUGGAACUUCCGGUGGAGCGGUGAAAUGCGUAGAUAUCGGAAGGAACGCCGGUGGCGAAAGCGGUCGACUGGACAUUUUCUGACGCUGAGGCGCGAAAGCCAGGGUAGCGAACGGGAUUAGAUACCCCCGUAGUCC
rnacentral:rRNA from 1 species